UACAGAGGGUGCAAACGUUGUUCGGAAUUACUGGGCAUAAAGAGCACGUAGGCGGCUCAUCAGGUCACGCGUGAAAUCCCCCGGCUCAACCGGGGAACUGCGCCUGAUACUGGUGGGCUAGAGGACGGUAGGGGUGAGUGGAACUCUAGGUGUAGCGGUGAAAUGCGUAGAUAUCUAGAGGAACACCGGUGGCGAAAGCGGCUCACUGGACCGUAACUGACGCUGAGGUGCGAAAGCUAGGGUAGCAAACGGG
rnacentral:rRNA from 1 species